CAGGAUGACAAUCAGCAGACUGGGGAUGUACAUCUGGAUGAGAUAGUAGCCCAUCUGUCUCUCUAAGUGAAACUUCACCUCAAUGCAGGUGAAUUUACCUAGGAGAUCACAAAGAGUUUCUUAACAGAUCCUGGCCGUUCUCUCAAUUUUUCAUUUUAAUUGCAUGGAGGACAGUUCAUUAUCAGCACAUCAGCUGACCCACUGGACUCUAAACUUCUAAGUGAUGUGCUCUUCGAGACAAGGAGAAGUCAGAAAAAGAAAACGUAUGGCUAUAAAACAACGAGUGAUCCGAGCCUGUCUGUGAAGAAACUUCUUCUGCCUUCUUCCCUGCUCACUUCUGCCGGCUGGAAAAUCCUCCACAGUGGCCCCCCAC